rnacentral:rRNA from 1 species
CCUCCUUUCUUCCUCCUUCUUGCCUUUUCGGCCAUGGGGGGACCCCUGCCCGAGCAAUGCCGCGUGAACGAAGAAGUUAUUCGUAAUGUAAAGUUCUUUUAACAGGGAACAAAGAGAAAUUUGACGGUACCUGAAGAAUAAGCUCCGGCUAACUACGUGCCAGCAGCCGCGGUAAUACGUAGGGAGCGAGCGUUAUCCGGAAUUAUUGGGCGUAAAGGGUGCGUAGAGGGCAUAGUAAGUCUUUUGUAAAAAUGCUGGGCUCAACCCAGUAGGGCAAAAGAUACUGGAAAGCUAGAGUAUGACAGAGGCAAGUGGAACUACAUGUGUAGCGGUAAAAUGCGUAAAUAUAUGUAAGAACACCAGUGGCGAAGGCGGCUUGCUGGGUCGAUACUGACAUUGAGGCACGAAAGCGUGGGGAGCAAACAGGAUUAGAUACCCCUGUAGUC